CGCAGGUGUUCAGAGGAGGAAGGCAGGAUGGGAGGGCCGGGUGUUGCGUCUAGGUAGCGAGGAAGAGGGGAGAAAGCUAAGAACCUUGGCCUUUAAGUUCUUGCAAGGAUCAAAGGGUAUGCUGAUGCUGCUCAGGGGCGAUCGACGUGGACUACCGUGGCCUGGUGGGCAUCGUGCUCUUCAACCACUUGGAGGUGGAUUUCAUCGUGACGCAGGAGGUCGCCGAGGUAGAGGACCACGACGCUACCGUCCGCCGGGAGGGACUACUUGGAUCCACCGACGUUUCAACUCCGAAACUUGGUAGAUACAUCUAGGGAAGUGGUCUAGUUGUUUGCAUCUGAUGUUAAAUGGGGUCUUGAGAUCUCGAGUUGAGAUGUUCAAUGUUGUAUCCACGAAUGUUGCAAGUGCUAAGAUGGUUCUGUGAACUUAGUUUAUUUGCAUUGGACGUGUCUUGAUUUC